GCAAUCUAUAAAUAGUAGAACAAAAGGACAACUUCCUUGAAGCUUGCUGAAACUGCAUAAAAGGAUGUUUUGUUUAUUCUUGUUCGACGAGAAAACUGGACAUUUUAUGUAAAAUUUCCGUAAAUAAUGGAGAAAGGAACGUUGUUUAUUUUCGAUAAUGUGUUGGAGGUUGCGUUAUAACUUAACACAAUAAUAAAGGGGAGAACAGAAGUCAACCCUUUCUCCGUUUACUUAUGAUCUGCCAUCAUGAAUUAUGCUACUAUAAACAAGGCAACACACCUUGACUGAGUGUUACAGUCAAAGAUUAAUGAAGAUAAGGGAGAACACCAAACUCAUCUAGAUUGAUACUUGAUCUGCAGAAUUUACUCUUUCAACAGGAAAGCCAGUUUUAAAUGUAAAAAUGGCCCCAGGAGUGUUGGAAAAUACAACUUCGCCUUCAUAGCUGCAUAAUGACAACUGCUACAGUAAGUUGAACCAGGGACCAAAAAUACAGAAUGGAUUCAAUGUGACCACCAGCUUAAUAAAAUGUAAACUAAAAUUGCUGCUUUAAUUGGAUGUGCUCUUGUUCUCUCGUCCUCUCCCCAUGAGUGUUAACUGCUAAAACCUAAUGACCACUAUUUUGAAUUCCUGAUAUUCUGACCUGAAGAGAUCCUCUUCCACUUGUACACCUGUCCAUCAUGAAUGCCCAUCAGUAAAGACCAAUGCAACAUUAUCGUUAAAAUGUAAUUACAAUAAUAGUUUACAAUCAAAAUUGCUUGCGUGAGUGGACUAUGUUUUUGGUGCAUUUUAAGUGAAAUAUGAAUAAUGAAAUACCCUUCUCAUGUUGUGUACCUUCUGUUUGUACUGGAGUACCCUUGAAUUAAAUAUUUCAGAUGGAACACAAUGUGGGGAAAACAUAGGACAUCCACUACUGUAUAGAAAGGCAGAGUAAUUUUUCAGUGAUGAGAGAUUGAAACACUUUGAUGUUCAGAAAAACUUGGAAGUACUUGACAUGAACAGCCAAAGGGUAAUAUGUAAGUGCAGCUAAUAUUUAGAAAGACAAAUUAUAUAUUGGACCUUUUGCACAAUCCUUGUGUAGUGUGGGACUGUAUCUGGAGUGUUAAGUACAGGUCUCUUGUAAUGUAAGAAAAAUAUACUGUCAGUAGGAGUUGAUUUUUGAGUGGCAUGUUUGUUAUUGGAGAAGAUAUUAAGCAACUGGGCCUUUGCUUCCACAGCUUGGAACAAAAGGUGAUUAUAAUGAAAUGGAUUACUUUUGUGUGGAGUUUUAACAGUAUAGAUGAAGAUUUGAUCCUCCCAUUGUCUGUUCAGAGCUAGGUAUUGUAAUUUCAAAAUAAUUGGUUAACCAUUCAGAACAAAAAUGAGAAUCUUCAUCCAGAUGGUAGUGAUUUUGUUUUUUUUAAAUUAACUUGCCAAGAGGGCUGGGGUGGCUUAAUUGUUUUGUAUGUUUAAGACUAAAAUCAGUAGACUUUUAAAUAUUGAGGACCUAGAGAUGUAGAUUUAGUGCAGGAAAAUAGGACUUGGCUGAAAGAUCCACUGUGAUCUUAUCAGAAAGACAGUAGACAUUCAAGUUUGGUUUAUUGUCAUUCAACUAUAUACAUGUAUACCAUCAAAUGAAACAAUGUUCCUCUGCACUGAGCUGCACAACACAGUACAUUUGGUUCUUACACAAUGCAUGAAGUAAUAUAAUCACUAGAAAAUUAACAAUUAAUCAGAUGCACAUGACACAACUUUAAAGAGUAAACAAUAUAAUUGGUCCUUAAUGCGUGAUGAGACCUGGGGCUGGCAAGAAGUUCAGUAGCCUUACAACCUGGGGGAAAAUCUGUUUCCCAGACCAACAGUUCUUGACCUAAUGCUGUGGUACCUCCUGCCUGAUGGCAGGGGUCAAAGAUUGUGGGACAGAUGAUUUGUUUCAUUGACAAUGCAGCAUUCCUGAUGAAUAUCUCUGAUAGAUGGAAGAGACCCUGAUGAUUCUCUCAGCAUUCCUUUCAAUCCUUUGUAGGGACUUGUGGUCAGAUGUCUUACAAUUCCCAUAUCAGAUGACGAUGCAGCUGAUCAGGGCACUUGAUGGUAACAUCGACAUGAGGAGCCAUGUGGCCUGCGCCUGCUUUUAUUUCUAGCAUCCUUGUGUGUUAUCCACCAACUUAAACCAUGAUGGAAUAGUAUCACAUUGCAAUCUUGAUAAUUUAUCAUUUCUCAAAGCAAUGUGCUGUUUUGGUCUGAGUGUAUUUACGAACUUUGUACUAAUUUGAGGAUUUCCCUGCUUUAGUUCUGACCAUUAAAAUUUGGCUUGAGGCUUUCUAAACAUGAAACAGCAAGCAACUUGUCUGGAUUGAAUCAGUCCAUUAAUUUGAAGUGAAGGUACUACAUUAUAUCACUCUGCUUCUACUGAUUUGUAUGUGAAAUAUUUCCUGUUUGGAAGUGAAUUCCUUUGUGUAAGGUAAUUUUUUUCUCUGCUGUUUUGUUCAAGAUGCAAAAUAAUUUGUAAUAAAACAAAUCCUGAAAAAGACAGUUUCUGCUGGGAUCAGUUAAUCUGUUUUUGAUGUUAACUAGCUUAGAUAUUAUGCAUCAUUUGCCUUUUAUUCUCAAAUUUAAUUUUCAGAAUUGUGAUAAAUUUAAGGUAUAGGAAUUUUUUUUUAUUAAGCUGAACAAUAUUUCAAUAAACUACACAUUGCAUAUGGAAUUUUGCAGGUUGAUAGGAGUAGGCCUAAUAAAUGAUGUAAUUUAACUUCAUGAGGAAUGUAUUCUAAUCAUUGCUGGUUUUGUAUCCCUAGUUUUAUAAACGGAUCCUUGUAAUUAAAUGUGUAUGACCUGUAAAGACUUUAAAUUUGAAUGAUUGCACAAUAUUUCAAUGGAUCCUAUUUCCAACUAUAUUUAAUACAGGCCUUCCCUGGGUACAAAUGGGUUCCAUUUUUACAGACAUCCAAGUUGAUUUUACCCUUAAGCCAUAAAAUCUGCUAAUCACUUGAUUAUGGUAACAAUACCUCUGGAGUAUGUAAUGAACAGUGUCAAAAGCACAUAAGACUCUUAAAGAACAAUCAGUAACUGUGGAAAGAAGGGGGAAACCUAGUUCUUUCAUGGGAAUGAAUAUAUCUAUAUAAAAAUCUUUUGAAUAUAAUACAGGAGCUCAUUCAUAUGUAAAGGUGUCCAUAAGGCAGGCCUUUUUAGCUCAGGGGUGGCCUGUAGUUCUUAAGAUUUAGUUCACAACUUCAGGGAUCCCGUGGUGAUAUAGCAGCACAUAAUGGUUUGUGAGUUGUAUGGAGAUGCAGGCCAUAUUGUGCUGCCACAUGAACAUGGGAGCAUAAUCCAGCAAGUUCAUUAGAGUAUCGUCUUGAUCUCUUCAUAAACUAUCCGUUGACAUCAACUGUAACUUUCUGAUGUCAGUAAUGCCUUAGCAGCACGUAAAUAUUGGAGUUAAAUUCUUUGAAGGUCCCCAAUAUUAAUUGUGCUGCUGGAGCAAGGCUGACUACUUCAACUUGUGCCAGGCAUCCCAAAGGAAAUGUUCAUAUUCUCAUCCAAUAGGCAAGGUAAUAGUCAUUUUACUGAAUAACCACUCUCAAUAUCACUUAGUAAUCUUUUCAAGCUUAACUGUUGGUACAUCUGAGUAAGUCAUUUAGCUACACGAUUUCAAAUACAGUUCAUGAUGCUACCUUAAAGAGCACAAGGAAUUCUUAAUUUACUACCUUUCAAGACCUCCAUUCUGAAUUCCUUGCUUCCAGCCAUAUUUAAAGUACAGAAAUAUUUGAGUUACAUUAUAUCAUUGUUUUUCAACCUUUAAGUUUUUGUGUACAAAAUUUUGAAAUGCUAUUAUGUAAUGCUAUUUUCCAUGUAAAUAUGUACUAUAUAAAACAUUGUUUUAUGAAUUCUGUAUAGCAAAUGUAAAAUUUUUUGUUCAUAAAACCAGAUGCCUCCAGAAGCUCAUGACAUGCUUAGAUGGGAAUCCUGAAUGUGUGGGCUUAGGUAUUGUGGAUGUAUUAGAUUGGCAGUCUUGCACAAUAAUUCUGCCCUCAUUUUCACACCUGCAUAUUUUCAAAAACCUAAUGAAGAAAAACACAACCACCUUGCCAAGUUUUAUAAACCAUUAAAUAUGAUGUGGUUAGGUACUAUAAACUUUAAACAUCUGACUCCAUCUUAAGCAGGCAACUGAAAUUGCUGCAAUUUUGUACUUGAAAAGAGUUUGUUGUUGAGAACAAUGUUUUAAUGUUGAGAUACUUUUGAAUAUAAUGCUGGACAAUGUUAUUUAUAUUGUUAAAACUGCAUUUCACAAAAAUAGUCAAAUAUUUUACAUUUUUCAUAGGUUGUGUAUAUUUAAUGCCAUUAAAACACUUUAAAUACUUA